UAUGGCCAUAUCAUACUGAAAUGCCGGUUCCUGCAUGAUCACCAAAGUUAAGCAAUGUUGAGCCUGUUCAGUAUCUAGAUGGAUGACCACUUGGGAAUACCAGGUGUUGUAAG